rnacentral:lncRNA from 1 species
AACAGGAAGCUUAUAUGCAUAUGAAAUUUCCUGAAGCUGCUUUGCUGUUUUAAUCUUUUUCAGUGGUAAGUAUUUGCUUCAUUCUUUAAGUUACUGACCUACCUGUUACAAAGUUUGAUGUAAGCUUUCUUUUGUAGGAAAUCAAUAUAUCUGGCUCCCUUGAUGUUUCUAAAGUAUACUUGUGUGGUUCAUCGAUAAAUCAUAUCUCUCAUAGUAAGUGUUUUAUCAGUUAUAACAAAUACAAUGUUACCCAAGCUAUGAGAUGUUGCUGAACGUGAAAUAAUAUUUUCCUCUUGAUAUUUUUCUUCUCCAUUACAAAUUAUUUGAAUAACUUGAUGGGCAUAUUCAUAAUUCUUGAGUCAGGUGCUCUGGCUGCCCACUCCUUAUAGCACAUCCCUAAGAUACUGAAGACCAUGAAAGGUAUAUAAGUUUUGUGCUGCAACUGCAACCCUUUUGGGUUCACACCUGUUCUUAGACUUUACUUUUGUUGUAUAUAUGUGAUUGCUAGGGAUAAUGUAUACAGGUUUUUUAUUGUUAACCAAGUUAUCAAUAACAUGACCUGACAACGGAUGCCUUUUUAGUUAUUGUUCAGAUUGGCAGCAAGCAUCAUUGGACUCGUAAUAUGCAGAGUUAUCUAUUUCUGGGGCCGUGAUUUUCAAGAUCUUAAAGUUGCCUGUCCCGCAAAACCUGGCAGCUAACUGCUGGAGUACAUACGUCCAACAAAGAUGUUGGUUGUUCAUCCAACUUGCUUGAUGAUCAUCUUUUGGAGUUGGUUGAAAACAUGGUUUUCUGCCAGAGAACUGAGCAAGGUUCGAUAUAAAAGGCAUGAUCUUGUUAAUUGUGUUUCUCCGUUUGUUGGAAUAGUGUUUACUGGAUUUCAAUUUUCAUUCUAGCUACGUCUAUGGUUACUACUGUGCAAGUUAUUGGAGUUGGAGGCCUGUCUUGUUAUUUAUGCUGUGUUUACUUUAUACCCUGCCAUGUUUUGGUGUCUUAACAAUUACGGUUUCUUUGAUGCUGCUUUACCUUUUAAUUACGAUGAGUUUAUUUGAGUUUGACGCCUGUAUGUAUUCUUCGGCUGGGGAAAGUAUCAUUCGUAAAACUUAAAGAUGAAAAGAGAGAAGUCCUAACAAAAUAGACACUACUGGAUUUCCUCCAAUUCCAGUUGUUUGAUGUGGAUGAUUGUAAUGUUCAGCAUAAACUUAUCAGGUAGGUUGGAGUUUAAAAAAAAUGGUAGUAGAGAAAUAAAAUGGAAAACUACAUUGCUACAUUCGGAUUGGGUUGUUUCCAUGCAAGGUGAAGUACAUUUCUAACGUUAAAUAAAGGUGUUUAGUGGAAGAAAAUAGGAAAGAAAUGAAGAUAGAAAAGUAAAAUCAAGUGAAUGAUAAAAGAGAAGCAUUGGUGUAGUAGUUAAAUCAUCUUUUAAUCUUCAUCUGUUAAAAUUCUCACCUCUCCAACCAAAAACAGGUGGAAUUAUAAAUUGACACCUAACCAUCAUUACCCAAUUAUAAUGGGAAUUAUUGGAUUUAUACAGAACUAAGUAAAAGAAUGAUGAAGCUAAGAGGCGUUAUUCCCAAGGGGUGGUUAAUAAUUGGACAUGGUAUCAAUCAAAAUCUUGUUGCACAGGUGUUGGGGGGCAGUGAAAAGAUAAGACAUGAGAGUGAAGUGAGGAUGAAAACCUCCUAGAAAAGCAGGCAAAAAAAUGAAGUGUAUGGACCCCAACUAACGGAACCUUUCUUUCUUGAUACCUACUUGGCGUACACAUCAGACAAAACUGAUGACUAUGAAGAGGUCCUGGUGGGGCCCUUCCACUUCCAUUAUGUAAGGACCCUUUCCUUGCCUUGCCUUGCCUCAUUCAUUUUUUCAGGAUUUUAGAAAGCAUGUGGCUUGCACAUGCACAACCACAAACCCCUUUCUUGCUCCAAUCUCUCCACUCUGCUGACAAGUGACAUCCACUUUCACAAUCACUUCACAGCCCAUACUGAAAGCAACCCAACAGUGUUCACUGAUCAUGUGUGUUAUCCUAUUCCCAAGUCCCAACUUUAAAAACAGUAAUAAUGCAGAGGGAUUCACCCCCUCAUUGGGCUUUCCAUAGGUUACAGUAAGAGAAAGCAUCUCAGUUUGGACAAAAUAAUGGAGCCAACUUCAUUUUUCAAGUCUCUUUUUCAGAAUUGGCCAAAAUUAACAAUGGAUUCUAAUGCUGUGCUUCAGGCCAUAAUUAUAUCAUCUGAUAACUUUCCAUUAAUAUAACUGUUGGGGGGUUAGAAUUUCGCAUUUAACAAGUGUUCAAAUUUCAUGUGACUUUAAAUAGAAAUAAGAUUCAUGCAAAUUUUCUGGAUGAAUUGUGGUAUUUCUCAUCUGGGAACAAAGACCUGAUCUGUCAAAGUACAGAAAUAUGCAUAAUUCCCUAAGAUAAUAUCAGAAUUGAAUGACUGGAUUUGUUAAAUUUGUAUUUUAUGUUUGCUCUCUUUGGUUUAAAGCACCCUGGAAGCUUCUUUGUGAGUUUUUCAGAUGUAUGCUUAUCAUUGAUAAUGAUCUAACAUAUCUGAUUGCAGCUAAAGGAGAAGUUUCCUGAAUUGGGUAUCAAGAGUUUGUCUCAUCAAACAAAAAUUAGUGGAUUUGUGAGAUGCUAUAACAUCCGUUUGAAUAAAUGGCACAUAAUAAUGCAUGUUGGUUUUUUCAAGUGCAAAACAACAGAGGGGAACCCACAAAUGUCAACCUUUCUCUAUCCAAUUGCCACAAAUUGAUAAGCAUAUUACAAUCACGAAUAUUGUUUUGGAAAAUCAUGAUGGACCUGCCCAAUUAUAUGAGGUAGUUCAGUAAGUUUGAAGUAUCAUUAUAAUAUAUUUUGUGAGAACUCCUAAUUAUAAAGAAAAUAAGAACUAUAUAAUGAUUAAGAUUGAUAUUUACAUAAUAUAAGAUGUACCUAGUGAAUGAAUCUUAUUUGAGGGUAAAAUGAAUAAACAUUUACUAAUAGACUUUAUUGUUAAUAAUUAAGAUUGAAACAUUGAAACACUCAAGUCAUUGUGAGUAGAAAAAUGUUGAUUAAUGAUCGAGAUUAAAAUGUACACAAUAUAUUUAAUAAAUCAUAUUUUAUAUUUAAUAAAAUAAACUUUAAAGUAUAUACUGAAAUUAAGUUGAUAAAUUCAAGUACAAAUUUGUUCCUCUCUUAACAUGUAAUAAAGUUCAAGUUCUUGAUACUAAAGUAUAAUUUUAUAUUCGUGAUAUAAGUAGAGGAGUUAGCUUUCUUGUCAUGCAACUCGCGAAUCUUUUAUUAUAUAAUUACAUAUUAAAUAUUUUCAUUCAUUAUUUAUUAAUAUUAUAUUUAUAAUUUAUU